GACGAACGCUGGCGGCGUGCUUAACACAUGCAAGUCGAACGAAGUGGCGAACGGGUGAGUAACGCGUAGUCAACCUGCCCUUCAGUGGGGGACAACAGUUGGAAACGACUGCUAAUACCCCAUACUGAAUGAGUGGUUUGCGUCUGAUUAGCUAGUUGGAGGGGUGACGGCCCACCAAGGCGAAGAUCAGUAGCCGGGCUGAGAGGAUGAACGGCCAAAUUGGGAACGAGGCAAGGCCCAGACUCCUACGGGAGGCAGCAGUGGGGAAUCUUCCGGAAUGGACGAAAGUCUGACGGAGCAACGCCGGGGGAGUGAUGACGGGCUUCGGGUUGUAAAGCUCUGUUAAUCGGGACGCGGUACCGGAAUAGAAAGCCACGGCUAACUACGUGCCAGCCGCCGCGGUAAUAC
rnacentral:rRNA from 1 species